GACGAACGCUGGCGGCGUGCCUAAUACAUGCAAGUAGAACGCUGAAGCGAGGAGCUUGCUCUUCUUGGAUGAGUUGCGAACGGGUGAGUAACGCGUAGGUAACCUGCCUUGUAGUGGGGGAUAAUUAUUGGAAACGAUAUCUACUACUGCAUAAUACUGGCUGACACAUGUCAUUUAUUUGCAAGGGGCAUUUGCUCCACUACAAGAUGGACCUGCGUUGUAUUAGUUAGUAGGUGAGGUAAUAGCUCACCUAGGCGACGAUACAUAGUCGACCUGAGUGGGUGAAUGAGCAAACUUGGACUGGGGCACGGCCCAGACCCCUUAGGGGAGCAAGAGUAGGGGAUUUUCGGCAAUGGGGGGAACCCUGACCGAACAACGCCGGGUGAGGGAAGAAGGUUUUCGGAGCGUAAAGCUCUUUUUUUAGUCAAGAACAAGUGGGAGAGUGGAAAGUUCACGCUGUGACGGUAGCUUACCAGAAAGCGACGGCUAACUACGUG
rnacentral:rRNA from 1 species